CCUACGGGUGGCAGCAGUGGGGAAUAUUGCACAAUGGGGGCAACCCUGAUCCAGCGACGCCGCGUGAGUGAAGAAGUAUCUCGGUACGUAAAGCCCUAUCAGCAGGGAAGAAAAUGACGGUACCUGACUAAGAAGCCCCGGCUAACUACGUGCCAGCAGCCGCGGUAAUACGUAGGGGGCGAGCGUUAUCCGGAUUUACUGGGUGUAACGGGAGCGUAGACGGCUGCACAAGUCUGGAGUGAAAUCCCGGGGCUUAACCCCGGAACUGCUUUGGAAACUGUGCGGCUGGAGUGCAGGAGGGGUAAGCGGAAUUCCUAGUGUAGCGGUGAAAUGCGUAGAUAUGAGGAGGAACACCGGUGGCGAAGGCGGCUUACUGGACUGUAACUGACGUUGAGGCUCGAAAGCGUGGGGAGCAAACAGGAUUAGAUACCCCAGUAGUC
rnacentral:rRNA from 1 species